GGGCACACUCUCCAGUCCCUGCCUGCUGGGAGCCUGCUGCUCCUUCCCCCAGAGCUCUGCCUGCCCCUGGCACGGCCCAGCCAUGCUGGCAACCCUGAUGACAGCUCUGUUCUUCGUGGUGAGAGCCUUUGGGCAGCUGGGCACCAGCCUGUUCCAAGAGGAGCCUCUGCCAUACCUGGUGUACCAGCCCCUGCCCUGGCAGAUCCAGUGUGUGACACAGAGCCGCCGCACCAGCCGGGACAGCGAGAGGGGCCGCAGCUCUCGGCACAGCAGCAUCCACUCCCUGCCGGGAGAGACAGGUGAGUGUGGG